UACGAAGGGGGCUAGCGUUGCUCGGAAUCACUGGGCGUAAAGGGUGCGUAGGCGGGUCUUUUAAGUCAGGGGUGAAAUCCUGGAGCUCAACUCCAGAACUGCCUUUGAUACUGAGGAUCUUGAGUUCGGGAGAGGUGAGUGGAACUGCGAGUGUAGAGGUGAAAUUCGUAGAUAUUCGCAAGAACACCAGUGGCGAAGGCGGCUCACUGGCCCGGUACUGACGCUGAGGCACGAAAGCGUGGGGAGCAAACAGG
rnacentral:rRNA from 1 species